rnacentral:rRNA from 1 species
GACAGAGGGGGCAAGCGUGGCUCGGAAUUACUGGGCGUAAAGGGCGCGUAGGCGGGAUAGCAAGUCGGUCGUGAAAUCCUUCGGCUCAACCGAAGAACGUCGAUCGAUACUGCUGUUCUUGAGGGUUGCAGAGGAGACUGGAAUUCCCGGUGUAGCGGUGAAAUGUGUAGAGAUCGGGAGGAACACCGGUGGCGAAGGCGGGUCUCUGGGCAAUUCCUGACGCUGAGGCGCGAAAGCGUGGGGAGCAAACGGG